rnacentral:rRNA from 1 species
UAGUCUAUACUGUAAACGAUGAUCACUAGAUGUUCGGCCUUCGGGUUGAGUGUCCCAGCGAAAGCGAUAAGUGAUCCACCUGGGGAGUACGUCGGCAACGAUGAAACUCAAAGGAAUUGACGGGGGCCCGCACAAGCGGUGGAGCAUGUGGUUUAAUUCGAUGAUACGCGAGGAACCUUACCUAGGCUACAAUGCCUUUGCCAUACUGUGAAAGCAGUAGUUCCUUCGGGACAAAGUGCAAGGUGCUGCAUGGUUGUCGUCAGCUCGUGCCGUGAGGUGUCAGGUUAAGUCCUAUAACGAGCGCAACCCCUACCGUUAGUUGCUAGCAGGUCAUGCUGAGGACUCUAACGGGACUGCCGGUGCAAACCGUGAGGAAGGUGGGGACGACGUCAAAUCAUCACGGCCCUUACGUCCUGGGCCACACACGUGCUACAAUGGCCGGUACAGAGGGAAGCCACCACGUAAGUGGGCGCGGAUCUAUAAAACCGGUCACAGUUCGGAUCGGGGUCUGCAAC